CCUGCUGUACGACCAGCAGUAGCCUACGAGAACAUGCGUUACUGGCAACGGUGGGGUGUGAAGCUCCUCGGACAAUGUAGCCCCGGACGUAUCGGGCGAACUAUUCCCGUGAGGGGACUGUUCGGAGACUCCCAGCAGCAAGGGGUUGAGGAG
rfam:Candidatus Burkholderia kirkii TZHbot1 genomic scaffold, BKIR_scaffold9